rnacentral:lncRNA from 1 species
CUCAGAAUUAUAUAACUAAUCACCUUCGGCUUCAGUAACAAUUCUGCAUCCACCCAAACCUCCUAGCUGCUUCUUGGUGGUAGGCCGUCUGAGGGAACCAAUUGGAUCCAAAUUUAUUUUGCUAACCAUCUCAGGGCAGCUGCACCCUGGGGCCAGGCAGGCCUCCUAUGGCACACUCAGGCCCAGCGGUGAGUGGGGACAGAUGGAAGCUGCACUGGGAAGCUAUGACGGUCACCGGGAGACUGAGUUAGAGGAACUCUUAAGAAGGGCAGGAAGCAGCCCAUUUUGCCUGAUGGACUUCUGUUCUGGCUCUCUGAGGGAGCAGCUCUUCUUGGCAUUGUGGUCCACAUGGGAAGGCCACAGGACAUUGAACCUGGGGUUGCUUGUCCAUGCUGACGGAGCACCAGGCAGCUUCGCCUCACUUGGAAGCAGACCUGCCCAGUCCUUGCUCAUUGGUGUCCUUUGGCGGCUCCAGUGGGUGAGCUCACUCUCCACCAUCUUUGCUGGCACCCAUGGAGCAACGGGCUUUAAGGAAAGACAGCCAGACCUAUAGUCAUGUUUUCCAGCCAGUCAAGGCUCCCCCCUAGUCUUCACUUGAGCUCUAGUGAUGAAGACCCUGAGGGAUGCGGCACCUCCCCAUGGGUUCCUGUGCGGGAGUCAGAUGACCCUGAGCUGAGAUGUCCCCACGAACAGCUUUUAUUGCCACGUUGCCUUCUCCCAAGGCACCCAAACCUCCUCUGUAUUGAGGGGUGUGUGCAGGUGCGUGUGUAGGGGGUGGGAGAGUUGAGCUGUGUGGAGGAGGGCAGUAAUGUCUUAGAGGACAUGUUUCCAGCACUGGGCUGGGUCCUUGGUGUUUGCUCACUGAGCUCUUCUCACCGUUAUGGUUCCCGUGUACAGAUGCUGAGGCUGGGCACGCCCGCAGGUGCACAGCUGGUCCGGGUGGGCUGGGAGGCAGCCUAGACUGUCUGGCUGCGGGUGCCAGCUGCCCUUGCCCUGCGUCUCGCUCAGCCCACCUGGAGCUCUUCAAGCCAUUCAGGAGCCACUCGAUGUGCGACAGGGACAGGUCUCCUGUUCCUGACGGUGGCUGCUCCUCCGCUUCUCCACGCUCGACUGCAAGAUCUGAGUCCAUUGCACCAUCUGCCGGGUUUGUUUUUUCCAACAAACCUCGGCGUUUGCCAAGGCCGCCAAAGGAACAUCGCCUUGCCAAGGGCACAUUUUACAUGGCCGAAAAAAGCAACUCUGUUAGAAACCUACUUUUAUCUCAACUAAAACAAAAACAUUAUCCUUUUAAAGAAGAGAAUAUUAUUUUGACUACAUUAAAACCAUUAACUUUACUUUAAUUUUUUUGUGUAUGGGGGUAGUGCGUGUGUCCAGGCGUCUAUUCAGACUUUGGGAACAGUGACGGGGAGGGGCAUUCAUUGUCUACAGGUGGUGUCCCUGAGCACCCGCCAACUCCUUUCACACUUACACAAUGGUCACUUGUGCGUCUAGAUCUCGUCUCCACCAGCAGAGUGGAAUAUCGGGGGCCAGUGGGGCCAGUGACUCCCAUAAAAGUCCUUCCAAAAGUCCCCCUAGGUCCUCAAGGCUUAGGAUGUAAGCACUGGGUCUGGUCGAAACGCAUCGCCACCUUUUGUGCUAAACCACUCAUCCUCCAUCCCACAGUCACCUUUACAUGAUGCCCUCAAUUUUCACACAAAGCAUCAUUUUAUGAAACGGUCUGAUGUGGAGCAUCUGCCCGUUUUUUGUAAAACUGCUAACCCCGUAUUCUAGAAGAAUACUCCGUCAUGCCGUCCUGUGUCCAUCCCUUGAAGACGCAGGCAGCACAUUCUUUCCACAGCUCUGCCUUAGGAAAAACCUUCUUUCUCUUGGAGCUCUUCCUGUUUUUUAGAGAACAAGGUCUGAGUAAUUAUCGCUUCUUCUCUUUGUCACAGCUGCCAGAAAGCUGGCGCUAAGUUUUGUGCUGCAAUGGAGGUCGUUUAUUUCAGCUCAGGUUUUCUGGUGAGGAUAUUUGCCUCCUUCACCUUAUUCUUUGACUCCUGUCUUUUUAUUCUUGCUUCAGUGGUUUGUGGAUUGAUUGCAUCCUUCUUAGUGUAAAUUGCCCCAAACCUGCUCUGGAAAUAGGCCACUUUCCUCUCCAUCAGGGAUGUGGGCCAGGUGGUGGCUGCGACUUGACUGUCAGAGGGAGCUGAAUGUUCUCGGAAAGACGAUGCCAGUGUUCCGAGGUAAGAGCUUAUCUACCUCUCUGAGCCUCAGCUUUCUCAUCUGCCAAUAAAGGAUAAUCUCACCAUCCA